AGAACGAACGCUGGCGGCAGGCUUAACACAUGCAAGUCGAACGCAUCUCUUCGGAGAUGAGUGGCAGACGGGUGAGUAACGCGUGGGAACGUACCCUUUGGUUCGGGAUAACCCGGGGAAACUCGGGCUAAUACCGGAUAAGCCGGAAACGGGAAGGUUUACUGCCGAAGGAUCGGCCCGCGUCGGAUUAGCUAGUUGGUGUGGUAACGGCGCACCAAGGCGACGAUCCGUAGCUGGUCUGAGAGGAUGAUCAGCCACACUGGGACUGAGACACGGCCCAGACUCCUACGGGAGGCAGCAGUGGGGAAUAUUGGACAAUGGGCGCAAGCCUGAUCCAGCCAUGCCGCGUGAGUGAAGAAGGCCCUAGGGUUGUAAAGCUCUUUCAGCGGGACGAUAAUGACGGUACCCGCAGAAGAAGCCCGGCUAACUUCGUGCCAGCAGCCGC
rnacentral:rRNA from 1 species